UAAACUAGGAUUAGAUACCCUAUUAUUUUAAAUGUAAAGUUUUUACACUAAAUUAGUAAUAGUUAUGUUCUUGAAAAUUAAAAAGUUUGGCGGUAUUUUAGUCUUUUCAGAGGAAUCUGUCCUGUAAUUGAUAAUCCACGAUUAUAUUGACUUUACUUUUUAAUUUACAUAUCGUCGUAGUUUGAAUAUUUUAAUAGAAAUUUAAUAUUCAGGAUUUUUAAUUAAAAAAUAAAUCAGAUCAAGGUGUAGUUUAUAGUUAAGAAGAGAUGGAUUACAGAAAAUUUAUUUAAGGAUAAUUUAUUUAAAAUAAAUUUGAAUGUGGAUUUGAAAGUAAUUUUUAAAAAUUUUUUUUAGAUGAUUAUAGCUCUAAAAUAUGCACACAUCGCCCGUCGCUCUUAA
rnacentral:rRNA from 1 species